UACGUAGGGUGCAAGCGUUGUCCGGAAUCAUUGGGCGUAAAGAGCUCGUAGGCGGUCUGUCGCGUCUGCUGUGAAAACUCGGGGCUUAACCCCGGGCCUGCAGUGGGUACGGGCAGACUAGAGUGCGGUAGGGGAGACUGGAAUUCCUGGUGUAGCGGUGAAAUGCGCAGAUAUCAGGAGGAACACCGGUGGCGAAGGCGGGUCUCUGGGCCGUAACUGACGCUGAGGAGCGAAAGCGUGGGGAGCGAACAGG
rnacentral:rRNA from 1 species